GUGGCUAGCAUGAAAAUUAGCUCCUAUAUCUCUUUUCUCCAUUCAAGCUGUUCUUAUUACAUGAUUUUUAAAUAAUUUAAGACUUUCACUAUGCAGGAGAGAAUGCAUUAAAUGAGAUGACUAUGAAAAAAGUGUGAAAAUUGUGCUUGAGACUCAAUACAUGAAUGUACGUGGAUGAUAAUGUGUGAAAACAAAUAAGAAUAUGAAUUUGUGUUGCUUAAAUUGAUGCAUUUAAUGAUCAAUAAUAUUCUUUGAAAUACAAAAAUUUAAAAAUAUAAAACCCAGGGGUAAAUCAGUAUUAAUUUGGACUUUACAGAGUGCUAAGCAGUCCCCCUCCCCCCCGCCCCCCAUCGGGGUGCAUUAAGU
rnacentral:lncRNA from 1 species